GUUGCCUCAUCCAAAAACUCUUCUAACAGUCAACAACUUUCCUUGCUUUGCCUUGGUUAUUUCCCGUAAAAAAUCUCAAUCAUUUUCCAAUGUUUUUCUCUUUUUUCUUCCUUUAAGUUUUCAAAUAAACAAAAACAUAGCCCAAGCAUUACCAAUCUCAUUCUCAACAAUUAGAUUCGAAAAGCAUAAGGGUUCAACUUUGAAUUCGAGUCACAAAGCUUUGAAUCAACGAAAGAUUCUUUACAUCUUCAUCCAUGGCAAAGCUAGGGUUCUUUUGAUUUAAGAGACUUGAUCUUUAAUGAAACAAAUAUGAUCAACGAUGAUUGACAUUAAUAGAAGAAGGAAAUUGAAGAUAGUAGGAAUUUAACAACAAUAUUUCUACUAAAUAUGAAAUUAAUUUUGCAAAUUAUUAUUCUUAAUUUCAUAUCAUAGAAUUUUGAAGUUACAUUUUUCAUAUAGUUAUUUUAUUUUUAUUUUGAACUUGCUUUUAAGUAACCUAGUAGGAUGAUAUAGUUUGGUACUUUGGCUCAUGUGGAAUGGAGCCUA